rnacentral:misc_RNA from 1 species
UGACUAAUACAACGCCC